CCUUCCUCUCCUUGACUAGCUGCGCCAAAAGAUUUCUUCCGUUCACACACUGCAGUGCUAGGGAAGCCCAUCUUCCGGGAAAUUUCCGUCUUCCUCCCUCUCCUUCCCGAUAGUUCCUCUGAUGUCUCAAGCUCCGCCCUCUUCUCUGAGCUCGUCUUGCGGUCCUCGUGGCUCACGGCGGCAGCCUCGCCUCGCCUCGCCGCCUGCCGUCGCGCAGUCCGCGCGCCCACCUCCUCCUGCACAGUUGCGGCCUCUGCUCCGUCGCCCGGAUGCCCAGUUCCGUGCUCCAGCCCCGGCCCAGUUGACGACCUGGACCCGCAGUUGUUUGGCGUGCCCUGCUGCGCCUCGCCUCAUCGCCUGCCGCCGCGCAGUCCACACGCCCACCUCCUCCUGCGCGGUUGCGGCCUCUGCUUCGCCGCCCGGAUACCCAGUUCCGUGCUCCAGCCCCGGCCCAGUCGACGACCCGGACCCGCACCUUCUCGGCGCGCCCUGCUGCGUGCACACCGCACAGCGACUUCCGCGGGCCGCGACCAUACCUCUGCGUCGCAGUGGGAGAGUUCGCCGCCGCUGCCAUCGCCUAGGUACACGACGAGUUUGCCACUGUGCUGUGCCCACGCGUGAACCGAUGGUUGUCGCCUUUACGCGCCCACAAGCUAGGUGUAAUCUCCCUGUGCGCCGUCGCCGCCGUGAUGGGCAGGCCACAAGGAAUUCCGCGCCACACCCACUGUCGUGGCUGCGUCCGCCUCAUCGGCCAUGUUCUCCUACACACCGUCGCCCUCUGCAGCUGACGCCUCGACGCCGUAUGUGGUCGGCGACCAUAUCUGGCCGGGGGAUCCUGCUUCGCUUGGCUUCUAUGGUAAGUUCUUCCUCUUUCUUACUACUACUGUCGCUUUCUCCUUUGUUUCCUCUUUCACUUCUUCUUUCUAUGAUAUGAGGAUCCAUUCGAUUGGCUGCUCCUAUGUAGCUCGAACAUUGAUUCAGGCGCUCUGCAACGUGUGUUUCAUGCCCAUAUCUUUGGAUGCUCAGAUCGAGUUUCCGUCCUUUCGAUUUUGCUUGUGCUCAUGCGGUUUCCAAUUACUCCCCCCCACCCUCCUUCUAUGUUCUUUUCUUUUUUAUAACAGAUUCUUCACAUCUAGAUUGGUUUUGUAUUUUCUUCUUUCUUUGAUUUCAAUCUCGAUCUGAUGUUUCUCCUCAUUGUGCCUUCUUCCAAUUUCUCCUUAGAGUUUUUCCAAAGAUUAAGUUACAGAAUAUGGUCUUCCCAUUUCUUCCCUCUUUCUGCAAUGGAAUCCGAGGUACCCCUCUCUCUAGGAAAUCCAAUGGUAUUCCAGCAAAACUUCUUUUUAAGCACUGAAAGGGAUUUUACAGAUCCUCUGCCGCAAAUUUGUUGUUUCCCCCCACUUAUGUGGCUGACUGCAUAAAUACAGAAGUUUUUGGCAUCCCCGACCUCGUUCUGUUAUUACUGCCAUUAAAAGAAGAAUGCUAAAUUUCAUUUCCCAGCUUAUGCAAAGGUAUGUUAUGCUUCUUUCAUUUCCCAAAGUCUACCAUCUCUUCGAUCUUUCCAAAGAAACCAGAAAGCGCAAGCACAUGAAAAUGAAAUCCAGGAGCUUCAAUCGGCUGCAGAGAAGGCCAAAACCCCUGCUCAACUUCACAACAACAAAGAAGGUGGUGUAUGCAAGGUGAACAAAGAAACUGGAUAUAAUCUUUGUGAUCAGACUUCGUCGUGUGCUCCGAUGAUUAGCGGACCGUUACCUCACCAAGCUACAUCUGUAGCUACUAUCACAGCAGGCCAAUAGCCAGGUCUGCCCAUCCCACAGCUCAUCAACAGAAUUGGAAGAAACCGAGCUACUGAGCUAUCCCUAACCAUAACUGCAGAAGACAACUCCCAGUUGCCUCUUGGAACUACUGAACAAGUUGAAGAAACAACUGGCUUUACUGCUCCAGUCAUGUUUCAGCUCCCUUCCCUUGAGAUGACAAUCCCAUUGGUGGACACUUUCCUCGCUUUGUCAGUUCAGAUCCCGUUCAGUUAUAUACCCGUGGAGAAAUGUCGUCUUUAUCCUUUGUCUACCCCAAACAGAAACAAGUUUGAAGGAAAGAGCGUCCAGGACCUUGAUGCUUCAAUUGAUUCCCCCUGUCGUACUAACAAUAAUCCAAACGAUUGAAGCUGUUGUGUUCCUAGCUGGACGCUACCUGGUGAUUCUAUGCCUGUUCCUUCGAAGAUUCUUUGCAAACUAUUAAACCAAGUAUCCUUUGUAGAUUGCAGAAUAGCUUGCUCCAAUGGAUGAAACAGGAUGACAAGAGCAAUCAUCUGUGGAAUCAGAUUUCGUCCAUUUUAAAAUGCCCUCUUGGACUACAUAUUGAGCAACUUAGCUUAC